AGAGUUUGAUCCUGGCUCAGGACGAACGCUGGCGGCGUGCUUUAUACAUGCAAGUCGAACGAUGAAGUUCCUUCGGGAAUGGAUUAGUGGCGAGCGGGUGAGGAACACGUGAGAAACCUGCCUUUCAUUCUGGGAUAACACCGGGAAACCGGUGCUAAUACCGGAUACUCCAUCUUGGCGGCAUCGCCGAGCUGGGAAAAAAUUUUGAUGAAAGAUGGUCUCGCGGCCUAUCAGCUAGUUGGUGAGGUAAAGGCUCACCAAGGCGACGACGGGUAGCCGGCCUGAGAGGGCGACCGGCCACACUGGGACUGAGACACGGCCCAGACUCCUACGGGAGGCAGCAGUAGGGAAUAUUGGGCAAUGGGCGAAAGCCUGACCCAGCGACGCCGCGUGAGGGAUGAAGGUCUUCGGAUUGUAAACCUCUUUCAGUAGGGAAGAAGCGAAAGUGACGGUACCUAAAGAAGAAGCACCGGCUAACUAUGUGCCAGCAGCCGCGGUAAUACAUAGGGUGCAAGCGUUGUCCGGAAUUAUUGGGCGUAAAGAGCUCGUAGGUCGUUUGUCGCGUCGAUUGUGAAAAUCUGAGGCUCAACCUCAGACCUGCAGUCGAUACGGGCAAACUAGAGUGUGGUAGGGGAGACUGGAAUUCCUGGUGUAGCGGUGGAAUGCGCAGAUAUCAGGANGAACACCAAUGGCGANNNCAGGUCUCUGGGCCAUAACUGACACUG
rnacentral:rRNA from 1 species